AGAAGGAGUUGGAUGCUGAGGUUCACCGCCAAUAUAUCUUUGAUGGACAUGUUGCUAACUAUAUCAAGACCUUGAUGGAAGAUGAACCUGAGAAAUAUCAGACACACUUUAGUGAAUAUAUCAAGCUGCAAAGAAGUCAGCGAAGCAAACACAGAAUGCAACACAACACAGAUUCGCAUACAUUUGCAACAGAGACGAGAUUAUGUAACACAGAGAAAACAUAACAGAUAACACAACAGAGAGACAAAAAGAGAUAUCAUACAUACACACAUAGAAAAAGAGAUUAUUCGAAAAAACCAUAGUGCUGAAAAGAAAGGGUAUACAACUAAAAAUAACAGAACAGUGAAGAGAAGAUGCACGAUAAGAACAAAGGUAUUCCAAAUGGCAUGCCCAUUUAUCUGCAGCAAUGAUAGUAUGCUAGAAGGUACUACAAUGACUAAGAAGAAAGGGACUUGUGUGUAACAGCCCCAAACGGAAGGGUCACCCCAUCUAGAAGAUGAUGAAGGAAGCCAUUGAUGGCUCUAUGUUACAGCUAGAUAUCAACAUAGGCUAAAAAGAAAGGGAUUAAUGGCCAGAUCAUUGGAGUAGACAUUGAAGCUAUGACAAAGACAAUGCUAAAUCUACCUAAGUCAACAUUUCAACAAUAAGUGGAAAUAGACACAUUUAGAAUGUUAUGACAGUUGCAAAGAAGACUUUGUUUGGUUAUCAGUUGCAAAGAUUAUCAGUAGUGUUAAAUGGAGCUAAUUGUUAAGGAGAGGCAAAGAGACUAUACCGUUUGAUUCCCUUGGCCAUAACCGUGGGAAUGUUAUGAUUGCUUGCAUAAUUGAAACUGUUAUGAUCAGAGCAUUCAUAUGUUUAAUUCAAAAAGAGGAAUCAUCUUACAAAAAAGGGGUAUCUUUUCAUUUCAGUCUUAUGAAAGAUUUCAAAAGAGACAUAUAAAGGAGAUACACAUCAGAAAGCAUUGGCUGUUGGGAUAUUUUAAUUUCAGUUACACAUUAUCAUUAUCAGCUUGAUUUGGUAGUAUUCAUUGGCAGCCUUUAAUGCAUUAAAUCAGAAAAUCAAAAGGGUCAUGGCACGUUACAUAUUUUUGGCAAGUCAUAAGGUUUUCACAAACCAACAAAUGAGCCAUAACCAGCUAUAAAAGGGGUCAGCACAGAAAAUACAGAGAAGGAGAGAGCAUACAAGAAAUACAUACCACAUAACAUAGCAUAUAACACACACACACACAGAGGGGCAGAGGAUGAGAUUACAUUGGGGACUCAGUAAAAUUCAGAGAAGAGAGAUAGGGUUAUAUUUCACAGGCAUCAUAAAUCAAGAGGACAGUGACAUAUACAUCAUACAAGAACACAGGGCAUAUACUCAGGAGCAUACCUUGCUUUAUAUGGCUUAUGCAUUAAACCUAUAGGAGUACUUCAUAACUGUUUCUAAUCGAUCAUUCCACAUAAACACAUAUACAUAUAAUGGACUGGAAUAAAAAAAAACAUGAUUGAAAUUUGUUUUAGUCCAUAGGUUUCCACCAUUUAAGGAUUAGGCAAAAUUUCAAUAGUGAAAGGGAUUAUUCCCUUGUCAUUAUUAAUCUGGAACCUAAUUGAAUUUCAUACAAGGGGUGAGGGUUCAUGAGAAAUAAGGAGAGUAAUUACCUCUCCCCCGAUUUGUUGCGAAUAACCACUGAAGGAAGACGCCUUGGCUGUAUCAAUAUAGCAUAUAUCCUCGGUACUCUUUGAUCGGUUUCGGCUCAGCCAUGAAUGACUCUGGAUUAUCAUUCUGUAAAGGUCAAUUAAAAUGGUAUGAGUUCAUGAAAAAAAUAGAAAACCAAGAAUCAAUAGAAGGCAGUGAAUUGAUAAAAAAUAAUAAAGCAAUGAUUACCCGAUUCGGAACCACCGUAACCCAUCGGAGGGAGGCUGAGCCGUCGUGAACCACCCGAUUCAAAUUCGGGGUAGUGGCUUUGAGACCACAGCGUAGCCGAGAAGCCUUAGAGGGUUGACAUUAUUGUCUUCCUCCAUCAAUUUAAAGCCGACAUCGGAGAGGAUAAAAAUGGAGUUGGGGGAUUUCAAUUCCCCUUGCUGCGAGAGAGAUGGAGAAGAAGAACUCGCAAGGAGGCACCAUCGUGCUACCACCGGUUCCGUCUCGCCUCCACCGCGAACCAGCGAGAGAUUCUGAGAACGAGACAAAAGCUCGGAGCGAAGCCACCGGCAAGGCACAACCCGUCACCACCUCCUCUGGAAGCUGAAGCCGUCGCCAUUGGAGAAGGAGAAUCCGCCACCAUCGCCAUCGAAGGAGUGAAGAAGAAGGAAGGCUAGGGAUUGAAAUUCCCUUUUUGCUUUUUUUCUCCAAUUUAGGGUCAAGAGACCCGUAUGGGGUUAAUCCCCUC
rnacentral:lncRNA from 1 species